rnacentral:rRNA from 1 species
GAUGAACGCUGGCGGCGUGCCUAAUACAUGCAAGUCGAGCGAACGGACGAGAAGCUUGCUUCUCUGAUGUUAGCGGCGGACGGGUGAGUAACACGUGGAUAACCUACCUAUAAGACUGGGAUAACUUCGGGAAACCGGAGCUAAUACCGGAUGAUAUUUUGAACCGCAUGGUUCAAAAGUGAAAGACGGUCUUGCUGUCACUUAUAGAUGGAUCCGCGCUGCAUUAGCUAGUUGGUAAGGUAACGGCUUACCAAGGCAACGAUGCAUAGCCGACCUGAGAGGGUGAUCGGCCACACUGGAACUGAGACACGGUCCAGCCUCCUACGGGAGGCAGCAGUAGGGAAUCUUCCGCAAUGGGCGAAAGCCUGACGGAGCAACGCCGCGUGAGUGAUGAAGGUCUUCGGAUCGUAAAACUCUGUUAUUAGGGAAGAACAUAUGUGUAAGUAACUGUGCACAUCUUGACGGUACCUAAUCAGAAAGCCACGGCUAACUACGU